GAUGAACGCUGGCGGCGUGCCUAAUACAUGCAAGUCGAGCGAACAGAUAAGGAGCUUGCUCCUUUGACGUUAGCGGCGGACGGGUGAGUAACACGUGGGUAACCUACCUAUAAGACUGGAAUAACUCCGGGAAACCGGGGCUAGUGCCGGAUAACAUGUUGAACCGCAUGGUUCUACAGUGAAAGGCGGCUUUGCUGUCACUUAUAGAUGGACCCGCGCCGUAUUAGCUAGUUGGUGAGGUAACGGCUCACCAAGGCAACGAUACGUAGCCGACCUGAGAGGGUGAUCGGCCACACUGGAACUGAGACACGGUCCAGACUCCUACGGGAGGCAGCAGUAGGGAAUCUUCCGCAAUGGGCGAAAGCCUGACGGAGCAACGCCGCGUGAGUGAUGAAGGUCUUCGGAUCGUAAAACUCUGUUAUUAGGGAAGAACAAAUGCGUAAGUAACUGUGCGCGUCUUGACGGUACCUAAUCAGAAAGCCACGGCUAACUACGUG
rnacentral:rRNA from 1 species